rnacentral:lncRNA from 1 species
UCGUAGUUUAUUUUGGGUAGUCAGCCAAACACUGAUACAUGUGUCUUAAACCAGUGGUUCUCAUUUUUUUUUUUUUCUCCCAAUGCCUUGUCCUAGAGUACACUUGAGAAUUUGUCAGACUAGAGUGUGGAGGAAUGCAAAAGGGUUCAGAAGUCUCUAGAGGUCAGCAACAGAACCCCUCUCUUCCUCUUAGCCAAAUGAACUCCUCUGUAGGAGUGAAAUACUCAGAACUGCAUUAGAGAGAGCCUAACCCUCACUGUACACAGGAAUAUGGUUUUAUUUUGAAGACCAUUUUAGGCAUCACAGUGCGUGUAUUAGGAAUUGCAGAGAUAAGUGCUUUGGAAAAUAUGUUAUCUGAGGAGGGUGAUAUUUAAUCUUCUUUAGCAAAGAUAAGACUUGUGGCAACAUGGUUUCUUUUCUUUUUUUUUAAAUAUUUUAAGCAUCUUUAUUUAAUAAAUAACUUCACUAAAACAGCAUUGUAAAAAGUGAACUGUUAAAAUUAAAAGGCACUUAAAAUAAGAAUGUGAAUAGUAUGAAACAAAACAGGAAACUCAAACAGUGAGAAGUAAAUACACAGUGGUCUGUUAUAGCACUAAUGGAAAGUAAGAAAUGCUUAAGUGAUAGCUAUUGCAUGAGCCACAGUACAACUUCACAUGUUCAAUAAAAAGGCAAAUGUACAGCUAAAACAUCAAUGAAAAAGUACUGAUUUUUUAAAAGUCUUACCCCAAAUUGCAAACCAAUACAUUAAAUGAUUAGAAGAGGUGAUAAAAAGCACCAGGCUUUAAAAAGAAAAUGAAUAAAAUAAAAUUCACCCGGAGGUCCUCAAUUUAGCAAAUACUAUGUAAAUUAAGGCCUUUAUGUAGAUAAUGCUAAAUCAAGGACUUUUUGCAGAAAAUUUCCCAAGACUUGAAUUUACAAAGAGAAGGCAUAGAAGUUACCAAAAUUAAGUAACUCUUCAAAUGGCACACAGGUUUUAAAGCUAUGUUUUCCCUUCCUAGCUCUGACUUUCCCCUUGGCCUUUGCAGAUCAAAUAUUUCACUAUUUUACACCUUAACUCCUAGCAUACUCAUCUUUCAGGUAUGUCAUCAGUCAUGUCUAACAGGCAAAUAGCAAAAUAAUACAUUGAAAACAAUUCUAAACUAGAAUUUCUAUGGUUUCUAUCGUCUAGUAUUUGCUUAGAAAAUUGGUAUCAAACAUGCCCUGUGUGUUUUUAGGAGAUGAAAUUUGGUCCUAUGGAUGAGUGAAAAAAAGCAGGAAGAUUUUGGCUGCAACCCAAGAGGUGGUGUGUGUCUCCCGUGCUAGGCCACAGUGGGUGCGUGUGCUGUCACUUUAGUUGUGUCUGAGUCUGUGCAAUCCUGUAGACUGCAGCCUUCCUAGCUCCUCUGUCCAUGGGAUUCUCCAGGCAAGAAUGCUAGAGGGGGUUGCCAUGCCCUACUCUAGGGUCUCUUCCUGACCGAAGGAUCAAUCCGUGUCUCCUAUGUCUCGUGUGUUGGCAGGCGGGUUCUUUACUGCCAGUGCCACCUAGGUAGCCCAGGCUACAGUGGG